GAGCAGACCUGGUGAUCAUAAACAGUGAUAAGGAACAGAAGUUUCUCUUCAACUUCAACAAGGGAGUCUGGAUUGGUCUGACUGACUCUGUUACUGAGGGGACCUGGAAAUGGGUGGACGGUACCCCACUGACCAACCCAAGGUAAUAUACUACUGCUCUAAUAACACUGACCACCCCAAGGUAAUAUACUACUGCUCUAAUAACACUGACCACCCCAAGGUAAUAUACUACUGCUCUAAUAACACUGACCACCCCAAGGUAAUAUACUACUGCUCUAAUAACACUGACCACCCCAAGGUAAUAUACUACUGCUCUAAUAACACUGACCACCCCAAGGUAAUAUACUACUGCUCUAAUAACACUGACCACCCCAAGGUAAUAUACUACUGCUCUAAUAACACUGACCACCAAGGUAAUAUACUACUGCUCUAAUAACACUGACCACCCCAAGGUAAUAUACUACUGCUCUAAUAACACUGACCACCCCAAGGUAAUAUACUACUGCUCUAAUAACACUGACCACCCCAAGGUAAUAUACUACUGCUCUAAUAACACUGACCACCCCAAGGUAAUAUACUACUGCUCUAAUAACACUGACCACCAAGG